ACCAUGGAUGCUGGAUGAGUACGUCUGUCAACUAAGAUUUUACAUUCACUCAGUAAAUGCCUACUAUGUAUGUACCAGGCACUGUUCUAACUCACAGGAUAAAACAGUGAGUGAAACAGAAAUCCCUGCCCCCAAGGAAUCUGACCAUCAUUUACAUCAAAACAAUUGAAAAACUUAAGAGCAAGCACAAAAAGAAAAGUGUCAGAAUUUGAGGACAUCCAAGUGUCAAUGAUUUUAAUCAAGUUAAAAGAUAUGUUUACCAGAUUCAGCACUAGAAGAAUGUUCUGAAGCAGAACGAGACUCUGAUCGCUGUCUUUUUUUCUUUGAAUGGCUGUCAUCAUCAUCUGAAUCUGAUCCCUACACAAUACAAAUAAUUUCAUUCAUAAUGCUGCUAACAAAUAUUUCAAUACACUUAUGGUGCCAUUUUUAAUAAACUUCCUUACUGAGCGAGA